rnacentral:rRNA from 2 species
UAAUUGAAGAGUUUGAUCAUGGCUCAGAUUGAACGCUGGCGGCAGGCCUAACACAUGCAAGUCGAGCGGUAACAGGGGAAGCUUGCUUCUCGCUGACGAGCGGCGGACGGGUGAGUAAUGUAUGGGGAUCUGCCCGAUAGAGGGGGAUAACUACUGGAAACGGUAGCUAAUACCGCAUAAUCUCU